UUCUUAAUGAAUUUAUAUUAAGUAUUACCUGCUCAAUGAAAUUUAAAUAGCCGCAGAAAUUUAACUGUGCUAAGGUAGCAUAAUCAUUAGUCCUUUAAUUAAGGGCUCGUAUGAAUGGUAAUACACUUCAUAUCCUAUAAAUUUUAAUCCUUUUAAAAUUAAAUCAAGAAUAAAAAUGUUCUUAUUCUAAAAACAGACGAUAAGACCCUAUUGAACUUAACUUUAGUUUAGCUGGGGCAGCUAUAAAAAAAUAAUCUUAUUUCAUCUUUUUAAAUAAACGACCCAAUAAAAUUGAAUAUAUGAAAAAGUUACCAUAGGGAUAACAGCGUAAUAUUUUUUUAAAGUUCUUAUUUAAAAAAAAGAUUGCGACCUCGAUGUUGAAUUAAUGUACCUUUAUAAAUGCAGUAAUUUAUUAAAGUGGGUCUGUUCGACCCUUAAAACAUUACAU
rnacentral:rRNA from 1 species